rnacentral:rRNA from 1 species
GUAGGGUGCGAGCGUUAAUCGGAAUUACUGGGCGUAAAGCGUGCGCAGGCGGUUUUGUAAGACAGGCGUGAAAUCCCCGGGCUUAACCUGGGAAUUGCGCUUGUGACUGCAAGGCUAGAGUGCGUCAGAGGGGGGUAGAAUUCCACGUGUAGCAGUGAAAUGCGUAGAGAUGUGGAGGAAUACCGAUGGCGAAGGCAGCCCCCUGGGACGUGACUGACGCUCAUGCACGAAAGCGUGGGGAGCAAACAGGAUUAGAUACCCUGGUAGUCCACGCCCUAAACGAUGUCAACUAGUUGUUGGGAAUUCAUUUUCUCAGUAACGUAGCUAACGCGUGAAGUUGACCGCCUGGGGAGUACGGUCGCAAGAUUAAAACUCAAAGGAAUUUGACGGA